UUUCCGUAGGUGAACCUGCGGAAGGAUCAUUAUCAAUUCUAGCAAGUACCCUUUAGGGUUCUUGCGCACGUAUUUAAAACCCCACACUUUUAUGAAAUUUUAUAUAUAUUUACUUUUAAUAAGUAAUUAAAAGAUCACUUUCAACAACGGAUCUCUUGGCUCUCGCAUCGAUGAAGAACGUAGCAAAGUGCGAUAAGUAGUGUGAAUUGCAGAAUUCCGUGGAUCAUCGAAUUUUUGAACGCAAAUUGCACUUUCUGGUAUUCCGGAGAGUAUGCCUGUUUGAGGGUCAGUAAAAUAAAAAAUCGAUUUGUUACCUUAUCGUGACAUUUCGGAAUUGAGCUACCUUAAAUUUUUUAGGUUUAAGAGGCUUAAAAUUGAUCACUUUUUGGUAUGAUUUAAGCGUGCUAAUAUUACGUUUAAUUAGUAUCGAUGUUUAUUAGGUAUGACCAUGAUCAUGGUUUCGUGCCCAUAAUUUUUUCAUGAAAUGACCUCAAAUCAGGUAGGAUUACCCGCUGAACUUAA
rnacentral:rRNA from 1 species